CAGUAGCCGCGGUAAUACGAAGGGUGCGAGCGUUACUCGGAAUUACUGGGCGUAAAGCGUGCGCAGGCGGUGUUGUAAGACUGAUGUGAAAUCCCCGGGCUCAACCUGGGAACUGCAUUGGUGACUGCAACGCUGGAGUGCGGCAGAGGGGGAUGGAAUUCCGCGUGUAGCAGUGAAAUGCGUAGAUAUGCGGAGGAACACCGAUGGCGAAGGCAAUCCCCUGGGCCUGCACUGACGCUCAUGCACGAAAGCGUGGGGAGCAAACAGGAUUAGAUACCCCCGUAGUCCCUGUCUCUUAUAC
rnacentral:rRNA from 1 species